AUAAAAGACCUAAAAAUGCUUCCCACACACUUGUCUCAGUCUGUACGAGAAUCCAAAACCAAAUCUUUGCCAUUCAAAAAUCUUUACAUUCCGUAUGAGAUCCUUACCCGCCGUCGAAUAUUCUAGUUUAUCUCCACUCACUUUUAUUGUUCUCUUUCUCGGUUUCUCCUCCUUUCUAACUCCGCCUCUUUGGCAAAACCCUAAGAUGCAGACACCUUCUCUUUUCUUUUACUCUCUCAAUUUUUUCAGAACUAGAAGAAGAAGAGCGAGUUAAUGGAGCUUGAAAGGUUUUUGAAUUUGGUAUAUUUGUAUGUAAGAGAAGAAACAGCGAGAAGAUGCUAAGAACGAAAUUGUGACCAAUCUGCAAGUGAAAGAGGAAGAGAUGGAGAUCACGAAAUUUCAAUUGCCAACUAAAGAGGUUUGAUUUUAGUAAUAAUUGAAUAAAGUAUUUCCUAAAGAUUUAUAGCUACAGGCAGAGAGUUUUUUCUGUAGGUACAGAAAAAAGAGGGAGGGUUAGCUAUUUAGGUGAAAUAGAAUGCAAUUAGUGUCCACAAGAUCAAUGCUUUUUCAGUACUAGGUAUGGAUUUUCCUUCUAAUACUUCCUAUUAUCAUCCACAAUAGCAAUAAAUAAUUAUUUUGUUUAAGGUCACCAAUUAGGUUUUGCAGAAUUCGAAAGAACUUCAUGGUGUUAAUCAAGCAAAAAAAAGAUAAGUAGUGUGGACUAUAGUCAUGCUAUUCACAUCGGUAGGAAGAGUCCACUCUUCUCAAUGCAUGGAUAAUUUGCAUAGGUUUAUACAGAUUUGGUGGUGGAACUAACUAAAGCCUUAGGCAGACAGGGCAUAGAUAUGCCUUUGUUGCAGCUUUGGUGAAUGAUACAAUUGGUACAUUAGCUGGAGGCAAAUACUUCAAUAAUGAUGUUGCAGUUGCAGUUAUUUUGGGAACUGGAACGAAUGCGGCAUAUCUAGAGGGUGCAAAAGACAUUUCCUAUGUGGCAUGGUCUCCUACCUAAACCAGGAGAGAUGCAUGGUAAUGAAAAUGGAGUGGGGUGACAAACCUUGGUGAAAUGUGAAUUAUGUAGGACUCCUGAAAUGUCUGCCAUGCAUCAUGAUAGUCCCCAAAUUUGAGAGUGGUUGGGAGCAAAUUCAAGGACAUGUUUUGGGUAUGGUUUUGUUUGUUCCCUCCUAUAUAGUUGAACUCCUUACUCAUUUUCCCAUUAACAUCACCUUCGUCGUUUGGUCUUUGCUUUCGAAGAACUUCAGGAGAAAAACCAGUUGCACUUGCAUAUGUUGAUACUAAUUAAGCUGCUAAUUGAUGACAAUUAUGAUCGCAUGAUUGCUGAAAUCACUAAUAUAAGAGCGAUAUUGUGUGAUAGAGAAGAUGCAGUGCUUGGGGAUGUUUCAAGACGUGACACGAUUAAGGGGCCAAAAGCCUACGCAACUCCUGCUGGAGAGUGGCGAAGGUGACAGUAAAUUGAUUAAAAUUCUAACUUUCAGUUUGUAAAAAUAAUUAAUAAAGUUAAUAUUUUAUUUUCCUAUUCGUAUUUCUCUUCUAACGUGUAUUAGAAUAUUUUAUUUUCUUGAAGAAAAUAAUUAAUAAAGUUAAUUUUAGAUUCAGUUUGAAAUCA